rnacentral:rRNA from 1 species
AAUCUGUGCUGGAAGCGAUGAUGUUGGUCCCGCUUAUAUGAAAUGAGUAAAAAUAAGGCAUCUCUGAUGCUUGUGUACCAUAGCUGGCGGGUGACGGGCAGUGGACGGAAAGGUCUGCUGUCUAACUCGUGUAUUGCAAUAACAAUAUGAGCGGGGAAAAAUCUCUUGCAGACGACUUGAAUGGGAAGGGGGUGCUGUAAGCAGUAGAGUGGCCUUGUUGCUACGAUCUGCUGAGGCUCAGCCCUAUCUUCCACGAUUUGU